rnacentral:rRNA from 1 species
AUUGAACGCUGGCGGCAUGCCUAACACAUGCAAGUCGAACGGGGGUAGGGGCAACUCUACUUCAGUGGCGGACGGGUGAGGAAUGCGUCGGAAUCUACCCUAUGGUGGGGGAUAACACAGGGAAACUUGUGCUAAUACCGCAUGAUGUCGAGAGACCAAAGCAGGGGACCGCAAGGCCUUGCGCGAUAGGAUGAGCCGACGCCCGAUUAGCUAGUUGGUAGGGUAAAGGCCUACCAAGGCGACGAUCGGUAGCUGGUCUGAGAGGAUGAUCCGCCACACUGGGACUGAGACACGGCCCAGACUCCUACGGGAGGCAGCAGUGGGGAAUUUUGGACAAUGGGCGCAAGCCUGAUCCAGCCAUGCCGCGUGAGUGAAGAAGGCCUCGGUUGUAAGACGUCUUUCUAGUGGAAGAAAACGACGAAUAGGGUCGAAUAACCCUACGUGUGGAGUGACGGUACC